AGUGAACGCUGGCGGUAGGCCUAACACAUGCAAGUCGAACGGCAGCACAGUAAGAGCUUGCUCUUACGGGUGGCGAGUGGCGGACGGGUGAGGAAUACAUCGGAAUCUACUUUUUCGUGGGGGAUAACGUAGGGAAACUUACGCUAAUACCGCAUACGACCUACGGGUGAAAGCAGGGGAUCUUCGGACCUUGCGCGAUUGAAUGAGCCGAUGUCGGAUUAGCUAGUUGGCGGGGUAAAGGCCCACCAAGGCGACGAUCCGUAGCUGGUCUGAGAGGAUGAUCGGCCACACUGGAACUGAGACACGGUCCAGACUCCUACGGGAGGCGGCAGUAGGGAAUAUUGGGCAAUGGGCGCAAGCCUGAUCCAGCCAUACCGCGUGGGUGAAGAAGGCCUUCGGGUUGUAAAGCCCUUUUGUUGGGAAAGAAAAGCAGCAGGUUAAUACCCCGCUGUUCUGACGGUACCCAAAGAAUAAGCACCGGCUAACUUCGUG
rnacentral:rRNA from 1 species